rnacentral:rRNA from 1 species
UUUAUGGAGAGUUUGAUCCUGGCUCAGGAUGAACGCUGGCGGCGUGCCUAAUACAUGCAAGUCGAGCGAACGGACGAGAAGCUUGCUUCUCUGAUGUUAGCGGCGGACGGGUGAGUAACACGUGGAUAACCUACCUAUAAGACUGGGAUAACUUCGGGAAACCGGAGCUAAUACCGGAUAAUAUUUUGAACCGCAUGGUUCAAAAGUGAAAGACGGUCUUGCUGUCACUUAUAGAUGGAUCCGCGCUGCAUUAGCUAGUUGGUAAGGUAACGGCUUACCAAGGCAACGAUGCAUAGCCGACCUGAGAGGGUGAUCGGCCACACUGGAACUGAGACACGGUCCAGACUCCUACGGGAGGCAGCAGUAGGGAAUCUUCCGCAAUGGGCGAAAGCCUGACGGAGCAACGCCGCGUGAGUGAUGAAGGUCUUCGGAUCGUAAAACUCUGUUAUUAGGGAAGAACAUAUGUGUAAGUAACUGUGCACAUCUUGACGGUACCUAAUCAGAAAGCCACGGCUAACUACGUGCCAGCAGCCGCGGUAAUACGUAGGUGGCAAGCGUUAUCCGGAAUUAUUGGGCGUAAAGCGCGCGUAGGCGGUUUUUUAAGUCUGAUGUGAAAGCCCACGGCUCAACCGUGGAGGGUCAUUGGAAACUGGAAAACUUGAGUGCAGAAGAGGAAAGUGGAAUUCCAUGUGUAGCGGUGAAAUGCGCAGAGAUAUGGAGGAACACCAGUGGCGAAGGCGACUUUCUGGUCUGUAACUGACGCUGAUGUGCGAAAGCGUGGGGAUCAAACAGGAUUAGAUACCCUGGUAGUCCACGCCGUAAACGAUGAGUGCUAAGUGUUAGGGGGUUUCCGCCCCUUAGUGCUGCAGCUAACGCAUUAAGCACUCCGCCUGGGGAGUACGACCGCAAGGUUGAAACUCAAAGGAAUUGACG